rnacentral:rRNA from 1 species
UUACCCCGGCUGCUGGCACGGAGUUAGCCGGUGCUUCUUCUGUGGCUAACGUCAAUCUUGUAGAGUAUUAAUCUACAAGCCUUCCCCACCACUGAAAGUGCUUUACAACCCGAAGGCCUUCUUCACACACGCGGCAUGGCUGCAUCAGGGUUUCCCCCAUUGUGCAAUAUUCCCCACUGCUGCCUCCCGUAGGAGUCUGGGCCGUGUCUCAGUCCCAGUGUGGCUGAUCAUCCUCUCAGAACAGCUAGAGAUCGUCGCCUUGGUGGGCCUUUACCCUACCAACUAGCUAAUCUCACUUGGGCCUAUCUCUAGGUGCAAGGUCCGAAGAUCCCCUGCUUUGGUCCGUAGACAUUAUGCGGUAUUAGCCACAGUUUCCCGCGGUUAUCCCCCUCCUAAAGGCAAGUUCCCAAGCAUUACUCACCCGUCCGCCGCUCGCCGGCAAAGUAGCAAGCUACUCUCCGCUGCCGCUCGACUUGCAUGUGUUAGGCCUGCCGCCAGCGUUCAAUCUGAGCCAUGAUCAAACUC